UUAGAUUUUGCUUUAUUUGUGAUUUAAUUGCCCAAGUGGGUUUGCUUUGGUAUGUUGUUUUGAUUUGGGUUUGUCUGUUUAUCUAUAAUUGGUGGUUGUUUUGUUUGAUUUCGAAAAUGGAUACGAUUUUUUGGUUGUUAUUUUUUGUUUUUCUUUGGGUGACCGAUUAUGCAUUAGAUGCUAUGUUAAGGGAAAAAUACCUAUUUGCUGGACUGUCCAUUUGAUAUCGGCAGAAAUGGAGGUCUUCAAGCUCCCUGUCCCAUUCACCUCUUAAAACUUAUCAUCAGGCUGUUAUUUUAACUACAAAGGAUUUUAUGGAAAAUACAAAUGUUCUUACCUUCAGCUGAAAUGUGAACUAGAAUAAGUUGAACUCUACCGAGGGUGUUACUCUUAUUCAUAAACCAUUCAUAUUGUGUCAUUAAUCAGGGUGAAGGAUGUUAAGGGGGGUCCAGCUUUACAUAAUAAAUGUCUAAAAAUAAUUUUAGAAAUAUUACCUAAGUGCACAAAACUCUAUAAUUUCAUAAUGUUUAGGAAAACUGGGAAAUCACUUCAGUGGGAAUCCUAAAAUAAAGGUCAAAUUUAACUCUUCAAUUGGUUAGUAUAAAAACUAGAUAAGUUUUAUAUAAUUUAGCUUAAAAAGCAUUAACUAUGUCUAAGAUCUCAAGACACAUGAUGCAUUUCAAAGAGAACUGUAUAAUCUGGGCCUCCAAACGUUUUGAUGCACCCCUUAAUUUGUGGUUCAACUUGGGAUCUGGGAGUAGUUCUUACUAUAACAUUUGUUUAGCAUAGUUACUGUGUCAUUUAUUUUGAUUUUUCUUUUAAGUGAUUGUAAUUGAUGCUUGGUCAACCUGCUUUCUUAUAUGCACAAACACUUGUCCACUCUACAUUGGAACACCUUCACUGUUUUCUUCAACAUGAAGGAGCACACUGUAUAUGUAAAAUAGAAGCCUUAUCUUCAUACAUUCUUGGAGACAGUUGCAGAGAUGUUUGAAGUUGUUACUGCAAGCCAAAGCAUUUAUGCAGAACAACUUCUUGAUAUACUCGAUCCAGAUGGGAAGUUUUACAGUGAAUCGUGCAUUUUUGCAGAUGGCAGUUACACUAAAGAUUUGACAGUUUUAAGUGUUGAUCUUGCAAAAGCUAGCUGCCAUAAUUGAUAAUUCUCCUCAGGUUGAUGGACUUGUGAUGUCAGAUUAUAUUGGGAUACCGACUUGGACUUAGUUGGAUAGUGCCUUCCUUAACUAUGAAGUUAGGAACUUCUUCAAAGAUGCAGAAAGAGAGAAAGAAAAGGAGAAGUGGAGAAGGAAGGGUAAAACUAAGGUUUUCCGGUUGCAAGUCAUUAAUAGGAUUCCUAUAAGGAGUUGGUUUGAUGAUCCAUCAGACUCGCACUAAUUUCUGUACUUCCCUUCUUAGAGACUCUGGUUGAUGCUGAUGAUGUCCGUCCGGUCAUUGCCAAGGGAUUCGGUAACAAGGAAUAAGAACCUUUUUUUCCUUCAUUAGCUUGAAUAUAGCAGCUUCUUGUCCCUCCAGUCUAUUUUAAAGAACAAAUUGGCUUCUAGUUUAGGUGCUCAAUACCACUUCUCUCGUUGAGCUCUUGAGAUUAUUAGCUAUACGAUGAACGUCUAUUGCUUUUCUAAUUGUUAGUUCAGCUCUCGGUGCUUCUCCCCUCCUUUUUCUCUUCUCAGCUGACAACUCUAUGGAGUGCUUUAAUUUGUCUAAUUUUGUUGUAAGGGAGUAUAGAGAUUUUCACUUAAAUAUUUAAAAUGUACAUGAGUUCAAGUUGCUAUUUUAUUUGUAA